UAUUUUUAAAUAUUACGAAGUCAUAUAUUCAAACAAAUAAUUAUGUUAGAUUCAUUAAAUAAAUAUUAAAAAAAGAAAAAAUGUAAAAAUAAAAGAAAUAUUUACAUAAUAAAUUUUAAGAAAGUAAAAAUUAACAUAAAAAUUUAAAAUUGUCGCAAUCCUGGGGACGUCCUCGGCGCUGGCGUGUAACGAUCCGGAUGCCCCCGUCGGCG
rnacentral:lncRNA from 1 species